rnacentral:tRNA from 1 species
AGAGGGUUGUGGCUCAGGGGAAGAGCUUCUGCUUUGCAUGCGGAAGAUCCGAGGUUCAAUCCCUGACACCUCCA